rnacentral:rRNA from 1 species
AUGCACGCUGGCGGCGUGCCUCAUACAUGCCAGUCGAGCGCACAGACGAGGAGCUUGCUCCUCUGACGUUAGCGGCGGACGGGUGAGUAACACGUGGAUAACCUACCUAUAAGACUGGGAUAACUUCGGGAAACCGGAGCUAAUACCGGAUAAUAUAUUGAACCGCAUGGUUCAAUAGUGAAAGACGGUUUUGCUGUCACUUAUAGAUGGAUCCGCGCCGCAUUAGCUAGUUGGUAAGGUAACGGCUUACCAAGGCGACGAUGCGUAGCCGACCUGAGAGGGUGAUCGGCCACACUGGAACUGAGACACGGUCCAGACUCCUACGGGAGGCAGCAGUAGGGAAUCUUCCGCAAUGGGCGAAAGCCUGACGGAGCAACGCCUCGUGAGUGAUGAAGGUCUUCGGAUCGUAAAACUCUGUUAUUAGGGAAGAACAAAUGUGUAAGUAACUAUGCACGUCUUGACGGUACCUAAUCAGAAAGCCACGGCUAACUACGUG